rnacentral:rRNA from 1 species
UGGGGAAUAUUGCACAAUGGGCGAAAGCCUGAUGCAGCGACGCCGCGUGAGGGAUGACGGCCUUCGGGUUGUAAACCUCUUUCAGUAGGGAAGAAGCGAAAGUGACGGUACCUGCAGAAGAAGCGCCGGCUAACUACGUGCCAGCAGCCGCGGUAAUACGUAGGGCGCAAGCGUUAUCCGGAAUUAUUGGGCGUAAAGAGCUCGUAGGCGGUUUGUCGCGUCUGCUGUGAAAGACCGGGGCUCAACUCCGGUUCUGCAGUUGGUACGGGCAGACUAGAGUGAUGUAGGGGAGACUGGAAUUCCUGGUGUAGCGGUGAAAUGCGCAGAUAUCAGGAGGAACACCGAUGGCGAAGGCAGGUCUCUGGGCAUUAACUGACGCUGAGGAGCGAAAGCAUGGGGAGCGAACAGG